rnacentral:rRNA from 1 species
UACAGAGGGGGCAAGCGUUGUUCGGAAUUACUGGGCGUAAAGGGCGCGUAGGCGGCCCGCUAAGUCGAACGUGAAAUCCCCGAGCUCAACUCGGGAACUGCGUCCGAUACUGGCGGGCUUGAAUCCGGGAGAGGGAUGCGGAAUUCCAGGUGUAGCGGUGAAAUGCGUAGAUAUCUGGAGGAACACGGUGGCGAAGGCGGCAUCCUGGACCGGCAUUGACGCUGAGGCGCGAAAGCUAGGGGAGCAAACGGG